ACAAAAUAAUUACUCAACAAAAAUAAUUACUAAACAAAAUAAUUAUCAAAUAAUUAACUACCAAAAUAAUUACUCAACAAAAUAAUUACCAAAUAAUUAAUUACCAAUAACAUAAUUACCAAACAAAAUAAUACUUACAAAAUUACCAACAAUUAUCAAAAUAAUUACCACCGACCACAGAGUAGAUCUGUAGUAACGAGUGAGUGAGGAACAAAAUUACCAACAAUUAUCAAAAAAAUAAUUUAUCAAAAAAUAAUUAUAAAAAAGACCACAUGCGGGAGAGAGUGCUGGAGGAAGGAGUGGAGUGUGAUUAGGGAGGGAGAGAGGGACGAUGGUUGUGCUGAGGGAGGGGGAGAGGGAAACCCUUGAUCUGCAGUCAAGGCUACUGCAUCGAGACUGCCUUCUCUCAUUUGUAUCACAACUACCUCAACGCCUUAGUGUGCUGAGGGAGGGAGAUAGGGAUGAUGUUGUGCUGAAGGAGGGAGAGAGGGAUGAUGUUGUGCUGAGGGAGGGAGAGAGGGAGAGAGGGAUGAUGGCUGAGAGAAGGGCAAAACGGUGGCUUACUUUUUUUCUUUGGAAAUAACAUUGCCUUGCUUUUCAUUUUUCUAUUAUUUCUAUUAAAUGGCUAGAUGGCUGGGAGAAGGCAAAACGGCAGCAAAAGCUGCCGUUUCUCUCAAGCUUCUCUCAGCUUCUAGAAAUUUAGGUAGCGUUUACUUUUUGGAUUGGAUUGGGAAUCCAGAGGAGUGGGAAUCCUAGGAUUGGGAGUGUGGAGUGGGAGUGGGAGUAGGUUGUUUACUUACACUGGA
rnacentral:lncRNA from 1 species